rnacentral:lncRNA from 1 species
UUCUUCAGUAACAAUAAAUGUUUUUUUUUAGAAGGCAGUAUGCUUAAAAGAUAGCUGUAUUUCAUUUUGAGUCCUUUGUGUCACUCAUAAUUAUUUUCUCUAUAGUUUUUUUGUUCCACAAUUUUGAUGGAACUUAGAUGUAGGGUAUACUUGCUACCGCAGGAUCCAAUUAAUCUCGUCUGUUGAAGCGUGGAUUAUUUAGAAAGUAUUGAUACUUUGAUGCAUUGUGACUCUUCACGUGGCUUCUAGUGUUUUAUUUAUGUUACCAAGCAAUGUACCGUGAUUUACUAGUGUUUUAUAUAUGUUAUCAAGCAGUGUACCAUGAUGUAGCUGGGUGUUCGUUAUUUUGUGUGAAAUCUCUGCCUAUUGAAUGAAAUGAUUAAAGUAAUAUCCUGAUUCUUGACGUAUAAAGGCUUUUAUUGGUAAUUGAUCUACUGUGGAGGAUGAAGGAGGAAUAAACCUUUAUAGAUGUGUUAUGCCUUUAUUGAACAUUAGCUCUUCAAUCUCUAUCAUAUGCCCCUCUUUCCACUUCCACACCAACAAUGGUUCUAGGUUCUGCCUGUUACUCGUACAUUUCUCUACAAGUGUGUUCUGGAAUAGAAAAGUAUUUGCUUGUUUGUAUUAUGAUCUCACCACCUUUGCCAUCAUUGCUCUUUCUGUCCACCCUAAAAUCUGCAACGAGAGACACUUGGAAGCUAUUGUUGUUUGUUUGACUCUGUGGUCAUUUGCUUUACACCUUGCAUUUGCUUUUGGUUCUUCUGUUAAGUUUUCUGGGGUUUGAGAAUGACCAAAGAGGAAUCUUAGAUAGUGGUGUUCGUUGUUGCAAAAAAUUAUCAGUUUAGCUCCCUUAUUACAUUACCUUUUGCAACUCCCUUUAUCCUAAUCAUCACAAAUGUGGGAAGGAGAUUCUAAGUCGAAAAUGGAUUUUGGAUAUAGAUCAUUGAUGUAUUUUGGUCCCAAUUCUCAACAAUAUCUAUUCCAUUAUUUGCUCCAAGUGGCAAGGCUUGUUAAUGGAGAGUGAUCUCAUUAUUGAAGCCAAUAAAUGUGGUGGUCACUAUCUCUCUCUCUCUCUCUCGCCUAUCUUUCUGAAAUGUGAAAGUAUCAAUCUAAUUUGAACCUAGUAGUAAUACGUGUUUGGAGAGAUCCAAUUUUUUGUCCAAAUUUUAUUUUAAUUUAUAAAAUAUUUUCUAGCUUCUCUUAUAUGUUGUUUGCUGCUACAGUAUUUGCUUGAGUUGAAGGAUGACCAGAGAAGCUGAGAACAGUGUGUACUUUGUUCAGGGAGCAGAGGCAUGGGACUGAGAAUCAUAGUCAAGGAUAUGCUGUCUCAGCACGUGUAUCAGUCAUUUGUAGCACAAAGUGUAUCUUGGGAUCAAUAAAUUUUAGUAUUUUAUUUGUUUAAACACCAAUUAAUUGCAAUUAAAAUUUUGUUUUUUUUUUUUUUGUUCAUUUUCAUCCUUUCUUCUUCUCUUCUUUCCCCAUGUUUGCUUCCUGUACUUGUUACUUUAGUACCUAAGAGUAUUCACAUUGAAGCCAUGAUAAGCGGCUGCUGCUAACCUACUAUGCUUCUUCCUCAAUCUUUUUUCUAUGGUAUUGACAACCCAACGUGCCCUACAAUCACCAAAUGGAAGACCAGGAAGAAGAGCCACCUACCCACUUCACAAAUAAAAUACAUCUGGAAUUUAUGCGCACUUAUCCUAUAGAGAAAUCACACUUCUACUCUUGUUUCCCACACAUGCCGACAUCAAUACAAACGUGCCAAGACUUAAAAAAAUGGGAAAUUCAAGACCAAUUUGCUAUACAAAACCGGCAAAACAGAAAAAAUAAUAGUGCUCUCACCCCUAAUUUUUGAAGUAUUAUCUUAAAAUUGUCCACCACCAAUGACAGUUCUGGAGAGCUUUGCUUUGUUCGUACUGGUUUGACAGUCGGGAUAGUGCGUUACAACCCACUAAAGUGAUGGCUUUUUGUUGGUUAACGCAGCUGUUACUAAAUUUAGUACAUGGCUUUUCCCUUCUUCCGAGUCAACAAAACCUAUCAGCUUAUCAAAGAUGAUGCGUGCUAGUUUAAAUUUGAUAAACCGGAGUUCGUGUUGGUGGGAUUUUUCCAAUAAGCUUUUGAUAUUUGACAAAAACAAGUAAUUCUUUCACAAGUAACUGUUACGUGAAUAAUCAUCAUGAGAGGAAGUUUCAAGUUUGUCAAAGGAAUAUAUUUUAGAAUUUAAAGAGUUGAAUUCUAAAUCCAGCUAAAUAUCCGAAAACAUGUGAACUUAAACAUGGGAAAAUCAAAACUUUUGUUUUUUCAAGAAUGGCAAACUGUUUUUCAAUAAUUAAUGAGGUAAGUAAAAGAUCUCCAGUGCAUUGGAACUUCAGGUUUUGAAGGUGUAAAGGAGUAAUACUUCCUAUGGUUUGAAACAACUUAACCAUGUUUAUUUUAUGAUGAAAGAUUGGAGAGAAAAGAAAUUAAAAGCCUACUUUUUUAACAAGGGCUCGAUUCCUGUUCAAUUUUGUUCAUACUUUUUAUUGUUUUAAGUUCAGUUUAACUUUGUUUGUUAUCUGUUUUCCAUCCAAAUGAUUCUUUUUCUCAAAUUCUUCAAGCUGAGAUCUUCUUCAUUUGAUGCAAUAUCUAAGACUCUGACGCCUCAAGCUCUUUAUAGGAAUAGAAAAUGAAAACUUGAUAGGUGAGGGAUGAGGAGAUAUUGAGAAAAAGGAAUACAAAAAAUCUGCUUCUCCAGUCUUAAUUCUUUAAUGCUUCAAACCCAAUAGCAUAAAAAAAUCAAAGUUAGUACCAAAAGUAGAGUAAUAAUUCACGCGUAAACUUUCAGAAUCGACCCUGAAGAUACACGAAGCUACCAAAAAGUGAAGGGAAUGUUGACAAAAGUUAGGCAGAACAUUUGUCAAUAGAAUACAUAUCCAGAUUCAAAGAAGGGUCUUACGGGGGUCAAGAACGGGGUCUACACAUGUAUACACAUCAUUCAUCUCAAUCCUACCGCCUUAAGACCCUUUUUCGGACUGCCUACUACGAAUUAGUGGAAGAAAAGAAGCGAAAGGUGUAGCAAUUUGCUCAACCGCAGCCUCUUGCCUUCGGCUAUAAAUAUCGGAUUCUGAUUUCUUAGCUUCCCAUCUCUCACAAGCUCAUCUAACUUCUCUCCUCUCUAUCUUCUAAGUUAUCUUUCUCUUUUCUUGGUUACGUUAUUCUCUUUGGUACUGCUAUAAACUUUGUAGCAGAAAGAUGGGGUUCUCAUUAAAAUUUCGUUACUGCCUUGUGUCUGUCAUGGUGCUCUUGCCUGCACUGUGUUACUCUCAGGACUAUUUCGUCCGGUCCAGAGCAACAUACUAUGGCAGUCCUGACUGCUUAGGGACUCCUAGUAUGUACAUUUCUCCUAUGAUACAUGCAUGUUUAUUUAUUUAUUACAAUUAAAGUUCACAAGUGGAUAUUGACCGUGAUUUUAAACCUUCAAAUUCACUUAAGGAUGUUCAUCAUGUCAUACAUGAGCUAACAGUUAUGUGAAUUUAGGUGGAGCUUGCGGGUUCGGAGAAUACGGAAGGACUGUCAAUGAUGCGAACGUGGCUGGGGUUUCCAGGCUCUACAAGAAUGGAACUGGCUGCGGUGCUUGCUAUCAGGUAAAACUUCAGGCCCCCUAAUCAUUUCAGCUCUGAAAGCGACAGGUAAAGCAAGGACGAAGCUACCAAAGUGAUGAGCUCGGCAGAAAUUUCCGCAAAAAUAAACUAAUUUCGGCAAUAACCUUUAGAAUAGUAUAUAUUUCUCACUUGCUAAAAGCAUUUCUAGUGUUCAACAUGUGACCCUACUGCUUAAAACUAAUUAAAGUUUAAUUAUUAUUAAUUGCUAAUUUGGCACUAAUCUAUAAACCACAAGUGGCUUCUUAUUUUAUGUUGCUAGCUAAUCCAUGACACUUCCUUUUUUGCUUAAUUAAACAAACUCAGGUUAGGUGCACGAACCCUCAACUGUGUGAUGAUAACGGGGUGAACAUUGUGGUGACUGACUAUGGCGAAGGAGACCACACCGAUUUCAUCCUGAGCCCCCGUGCCUACACAAGGAUGGCGCGAUCAAACACUGCCGCGCAGCUGUUUGCUUAUGGCGUAGUUGACGUGGAAUACCAGAGAAUCCCCUGCGGCUACGGUGGUAAAAAGCUCCAGUUCAAGGUUCAUGAACACAGCAGAUACCCAAGCUACUUGGCCAUCGUAAUCUUGUACCCAGCUGGCAAAAACGAAAUCCAAGCCAUUGAAAUUUAUCGGGUAAAUUUUACUUAUUUAUCACAAAAUUCUGACCCCUUGAAGUACGGAAAUCGUACAUAUUGUUACAUAAUUAUGCAUUUGGUGUGUGAGCAGGAGGAUUGUAAGCAAUGGAUAGGAAUGAGGAGGGCGUAUGGGGCAGUUUACGACAUGGCUAAUCCGCCACAGGGGUCUAUCAGCUUGAGGUUCCAAGUGAGCGGCAGCGCCGGUUUGACAUGGGUGCAGGCACCAAACGCUAUCCCCAGCAAUUGGGAAGCUGGAGUUGCAUAUGAAUCAGAUAUUCAGCUUGAGUAAAGUAGCAAAUUUUAGAAGGAAAAAAAUCAGACUACUUGUAUUAAUUCCUUAAUUAUGUAGUUGCUUUAUGAUGUCGCUAGUAAGACAGCAAAGUGCUCGGAACUUUGCCCUGUGCUCGAUAAAAUAAAAAGUUGUUAUAUGUACUUUUGCUUCAUGAGUCAAUAGAGUUACACCUUUAGAGUAUUUUUCCUUCCACUGAGUUUAUUAUCAUGAUGACGACGUCUUAUAGUAAUUGAUAGUGUUUUGUUUUCACUAUUUUUCGUAAUCAUUAAUAAAAAAUACUACAUUUCAAAUCCAAAUCUUUACUUCCAUGUGUUUAACUAAGUCUCAAUCUCAUUCACCUUUAUCACUUCAACUAAUCUCUAAAUUAUUUAAAAUUUCUUAAAUAAAUUAUUAUUUAUUUAUUUCAUUCUAUUAAAUUUUUAUAUAUUUAUUUUUAAAUCAAAUAAAUUUUUACUUAUUUUUUAUUUUAAAUCAAACAAAAUUCUAUGUCUAAUGAUUAAUUUAUUGUUAUUAUCAAAAUAUCAGUUAUCGUUACAUUUUACAUGAUAUUAAUGAUAUAUUGACAUAUUAUAAUAGAUGAUGACAUAAUAUGUUAAUAUGAUAUGAUAUGAUAUAUAAACACGUAAUAUUUUUUACUUUUCAUGUCAACACCACAUGAGCAUAAAAUAAUAAAUAACAUUGUAACUGACGACAAUUAAUCAAUUAUUAAUCAUAAAAAUUUAUUUAAUUUAAAAUAAAAAUAUAAAACUUUAUUGAAAGCAAUAAAAAAUGAACAUUUACUUAAAUUCUCUUGAAUAAUUUUAAAAAAAAAAUUCAAGUAUAUAUGACUUUCUUUGGUAAUAAAACUGAUUGUUUAUGUCAUUAAAUUACGUGUUUCCAGCUGCGUAAUUAUUCCUACUUCUCAUCAGCUACUUAUAGGAUGAAACAUGCUUUACCGGAUCAGGAUGUUCACUGAAACUGUUUCAAAACAUAAAAUGGGCAUGUAAGAUGAUAGAAGAUAAACUAAGUGAAGGUUUGAAGAAGCUCCCCAAAAUUUAGAAAAAUAUGAGAAGCAUUAACUUGUUUCAACUUCUUAAAGAAUUCAAUAUAACAAGGCAAUCGAAAGCUCAGAAGUUACAAAUAUGAUUUAAUGUUCAAGGUGGAAAACAUAUUCCGUCAGGCACUGCAAUUUGCCAGGAUCUAAUUUUUGCUCUCUCACAAUAGCCUGCUUCUUCACAGUUAGCAUUUGAGAAACAGGAUCGACUGUCCAACCUUGCCGUAGUGCAUCUGCAUGUGAAACAUCCAAAAUCAACAACAUUAAUAAAUACAACCAAUAUUGUUGUAUCAACAACCCAAAAGAAAUUGUGAAUAGUAUAGCACACACUAAUUUAAGUAGACAAUUCUAUUAACAAUACAAAAAGUGGAACAUUCAGCUCCAAAAAGGGUUAACAGUAAAAGCCAGUUUGGCAAGCCUACAAACAGCAAAAUUCCAUGUUUUUCAAUGGGAAUUUAGCUUUGUAUGGCCAUCGAUCUUGUUCCAUAAAACCAAGAACUAUAUAAGAAAUUGAAAAAGUAGCUUUCCUUUGCCAAACUUGUUCAGAGUCUCGAGAUUUAUACAUUUUGCAUGUACAGGGAGCACAAAUGUUCGAAUAUCUGGAAAGGCAGAGGACCAGAGGUUUCAAAGUCAAGAAAUGUAGACUCUACUCAAACCAUAAGAAGCAAAAGCUUCAACAUUGAUUCACUGAUUAUAGAUAUAAACCAGACAUGUCUCCAGCUUGCAAUCAGGGAGUUAAACAUCUAUAAAGGAGACUUCAUUGAUUCAGAAUAUGAUAUAUCCUUCUGAUUUCAUAUAUUUAUGUUUACACUAUAAAGACUCAUAUGGUCUCAAAAGAAGCUUAUCACAAACAUCUAAAAGCAAAUAAAAUAAUAGAAUAUUCACAGUAUAAACAUAACAAGGAAUGUGUGUACUUACAAUUUGUGGCAUCAUCCUCACUCAUUCCAAGAAAUUGAGCUGCAUCUUGGAUGCUUAUCGUUGAAUAAGCAGAUAGCAGCAGUCCAAACAUCCUCUUAGUGUAAAGCUCUACAAAAAGGACAGCAAAUAAAUGAAAUAAUGACCACAACUGGUAUAUUGCCUAAAUCUUUUACGGACAUUCUAUAAUAUUGAGUGUUACUUAAUUUUUACAUGUUUUCACUCCUUCAAUUUCAAUGCAUCUCAGUCAAAAUAAGCAAUUCAACUAUCAUUGUUUCUGUACUGAACCAUAAUGUUUCAAUUAGAUAUUACUUUUUAUAAUUAGCUCCUUUUUUUCCUUUUAUUGAUUUAAUUCAGGUUUCAUUUUUUAACAUAUUUUUUAUUAUCUACCUAAUAACACUUAAAAUAUUGUAAAAAGCUAUGGUAGAGAAAGCAUGCCUGAGAAAGAAGCAACAAGAACUUGUGUUUCUUGACUCCAAUCAAAGCCACGAAUUGCGUCAUAGACACCAGCAUAGUCCCUUGUCCACAGCUUCUGACCUAUUUUCCAGGCUGCAACCAACUCCGGUUGGCUCUCCUUGAUUGCUGCAGGUAUUGAUUUCCAAAGAAACCUUGCACUAUUACUGCAAAACCAUUCCCUUCAAACAUCAAAUCCCAAACUAAACAAAUGUAAACGAAAACAACAUUUACUCCCAAAAAAAGCAUUUCCCAUAAUCACAUAUAAUCCCGUAUAUAUAACUUAUUAAUUAAAAAGAAUAAAUGGGACUUACAUAUCAUCGACGUAGAUGUGGCCGAGAAGAUGAAUUGCGAAAGGCCACUCGUCUUGAAAAGCAACGCCUUCCGCUGCUACCUGAUUUUUUUUUAUAAAUUCGAAUUAGGGUUUCGAUAGGGUUUUGGGAAUUCUAAAGGAAAACACUUGAACUAUCUAAAAAUUAGAUGAAACAUCACACACACAAAAAAAAAAGGAAAAUAAAAGAUCAAAAGGAGAGAAAAGAGAGAAAGUACCUGAAGCAUGAGGUUGUCGCAUAUAUCAGCGAUCCUGUCGAAGGAUUUGGAAGCCAAUGCUCCAUUCAGAACACUAAAAUCCAUCUCUUCUCUUCUGCUUUUACUCUUUCGAUUUUCUUCUCUUCUGCUAUUACUCUGUCAGAUCGUUUUCUGUGGGAGGUUUUCUUCUUGUUUCUUUUUGGUCCCUUCUGAGCCCUAUUCCAUGGGCCGAAAAAUUAAAGCCCAUUUAAAUUCGUGGCGUCAAAAGAUCCAACCUUGAAAAGCCCAUCUUUGUCCACACGAAAUUCAACUUGGAUGAGCCUGCCCAAAGUGUCCCGGUAGUGCCGGUAUUGAGAGCGUCUUGACUCUUGAGGGAUGAUACAGGGACGUCAAAAGCUUUUUCUUGCCCAUUUUAUUUUAAUAUUUUUUAUUUUAAUUAAAAUAUUAUAAAAUAUUUUUAAUAAAAUAAUAAAAUUAAAGAGUAAAAAUAUUUUUAAAAAUAUUAUAAAGUAUAAUAUAAUGUGAUUACAUUACAAUCUUACAUUAUAAUGAUCUGUUGUAAAAUAAAUACUGUAAUAUAAUUUAAUUGGACACAUUACAAAAAAUGUGCUUUCACUUUUCUUAUACCAAACGCUACUUUAAGGUACAGGGUGAGAGAUUCUAACCAACGGAAAUAAGGGCCAUUAGAGAAGUUUUAAUUGGGUUUAUUGCUUCCAAAUGGGGCCAUAGGUUGGUUAUUGAGAGCCAUUCAAUGAAUGCUGUCAAAUGGGUGAACAGUCCAGCGGAAGCUCCUUGGAGAUUUAGGAAAAUGGGAUGUUAUCUAUGGCUUUAGGGAAAACAAUCAAAUGGCUGAUAACCUCGCGAAGGAGGGAGCUAUUCACCAGAGAGAUCUCAUUAGCAUUAUGAAGGAGUAGGGGUAGUCAGGGGUUUCUUGAGGGGAUUUUUGGUAAUGUAAAUAGUGCUAAUCACAAAAACAGGGAUUGGGAUUUUCUUUUGUAAACGUUGGGAGAUGGAUGGAGUUUUUUUGUAUUUUUUGAUUGGUUAUGUGGUUUGAGACUAAUGUGCGUUUCUUGCUAACGCAUUGAAGUCUCAAACCAUGUAUUGUUUUGGGAGCUAUGUUUUCCCUUUCUAUUAAUGAAAUCGUCUUUCAAAAAAAAAAAAAACAAAUAUUAGAAGGAGAUUCUAAGUCGAAAAUGGAUUUUGGAUAUAGAUCAUUGAUGUAUUUUGGUCCCAAUUCUCAACAGUGUCUAUUCCAUUCCAUUAUUUGUUCCAAGUGGCAAGGCUGGUUAAUGGAGAGUGAUCUCCUUAUUUAAGCCAAUAAAGCUGGUGGUCACUCUCUCUCUUUCUCUCAAUUUUUUUAUGCCUGUCUUUCUGAAAUGUGAAAGUAUCAAUCUAAUUUGAACCCAGCAGUGAUACGUGUUUAGAGAGAUCCAAUUUUUUGUCCAAAUUUUAUUUUAAUUUAUAAAAUUAUUUUAUAGCUUCUGUGAUAUGUUGUUUGCUGCAACAGUAUUAGCUCGAGUUGAAGGAUGACUGGAGAAGCUGAGAACAGUGUGUGCUUUGUUCGGGGAGCAAAGGCAUGGGAAUGAGUUGAAGGAUAUGCUUUCUUAGCACGUGUAUCAGUCUCAUUUGGCGCACAAAGUGUAUCUUGGGAUCAAUAAAUUCCAGUGUUUUAUUUGUUUAAACUCCAAUUAAAAUUUUGUUUUUUAUUUUUUUAUUUUUCAUUUUCUUCCUUUCUUCUUGUCUUCUUUCCCUAUGCUUGCUUCCUACUAGUUACUUCAGUACUUAAGUCUUUUCACAUUGAAGCCAUGAUUCAAUAGUUAAUUGAUGACCAGAGUCAUAAAGCCAUAAUUAGCAGCUACUACUAACCUACUAUGUUUCUCCCCCAUUCUUUUUUCCAUGGUAUUUACAACCCAAUGUGCCGUACAAUCACCAAAUGGAAGACCAAGAAGAAAAGCCACAACCCACUUCAGAAAUAAAAUACUACUGGAAUUUAUGCACACGUAUCCUACAGAAAAAUCACACUUGCACUCUUGUUUGCCACAUGUGUCGACAUCAAUACAAACGUGCCAAGAUUUCAAAUGAAAAAAAUGGGAAAUUCAAGACCAAUUUGCUAUAUAAAACCUGCAAAACAGAAAACUUAAGAGUGCUCUCAAGUCUUAAAAUUUUCCACCACCAGUGACAGUUCUGAAGACCUUAGUUUUGUUCUUACUGGUUUGACAGUCGUGAUAGUGCGUUACAACCCACCAAAGUGAUGGCAUUUUGUGGAUUAAUGCAGCUCGUACUAUUUAGUCGUGUUGAUGGGAUUUUUCCAAAUAGCUUUUGGUUUUUGACUAAAAACAAGCAAUUCUUUCACAAGUACCUGUUACAUGAAUAAUCAUAUUAAGAGGAAGUUUCAAGUUUGUCAAACGAAUUUAUUCUGGGACUUGAAGGUUUGAAUUUUAAAUCCAGCCAAACAUCCGGAAACAUAUAAACUUAAACAUGAAAAAAUCAUAACUUUUGUUUUUCAAAAAUGGCAAACUGUUUUUUAAUAAUUAAUAAGGAAAGAAAAAAGAUAUUCAGUGCAUUGGAACUAUAGGUUUUGAAGGUGUAUAUGACUAAUAGUUCCUAUAGCUUGAAACAACUUAACCAUGUUUAUGUUAUGAUGAAUUUUUGUAUAGCAAGAACAGAGGAAAUAUAAGGCAAGAAAAACAGAACUUUAUCAAUCAAAAACUCUCAAAAGCCUACUUUUUUAUGAUGGAAGAAAUAAGAAGCCUACUUUUUAACAAGUGCUCGAUUUCUGUUCAAUUUGGUGCAUGCUUUUUAUUGUUUUAAGUUCAGUUUAACUUUGUUUGUCAUCUGUUCUCCAUCCAGCUGAUUCUUUAUUUCAAAUUCUUCAUGCUGAGAUCUUCUUCAUUUGAUGCAAUAUCUAAGACUCUGACGCCUCAAGCUCUCAAGACGAAUAGAAAAUGAAAACUGCUUUGUCUUGAUAGGUGAAGGAUGAGGAGAUAUCUAGAAAAGAGAAUACAAAAAAUCUGCUUCUCUAGUCUCAAUUCUUUAAUGCUUCAAACACAAUAGCAUAAACAAAAUCAAGUUAGUACCAAAAGUAGAGUAAUAAUUCACGCGUAAACUUUCAGAAUCGACCCUGGAGAUACACGAAGCUACCAAAAAGUGAAGGGAAUGUUGACAAAAGUUAGGCAGAACAUUUGUCAAUAGAAUACGUAUCCAGAUUCAAAGAAGGGUCUUAAGGGGGUCAAGAACGGGGUCUACGCAUACGUAUACACACCAUUCAUCUUAAUCCUACCGCCUUGGCACCCUUUUUCGGACUGUCUACUCCUAAUUAGUGGAAGAUAAGAAAAAAAAGGUUUAGCAAUUUGCUCGACAGCAGCCUCUUGCCUUCUGCUAUAAAUAUGGGAUACUGAUUUCUUAGCUUCCCAUCUCUCACAAGCUCAUCCAACUUCUCCCCUCUCCAUUUGCUAGGUUAUCUUUCUCUUUUCUUGGUUAUAUUAUUCUCUUUGGUACUGCUAAAAGCUUGGUAGCAGAAACAUGGGGUUCUCAGUAAGAUUUCGUUGUUGCCUUGUGUCUGUCAUGGUGCUCUUGCCUGCACUGUCUCUGUGUUACUCUCAGGACUAUUUCGUCCGGUCCAGAGCAACUUACUAUGGCAGUCCUGACUGCUUAGGGACUCCAAGUAUGUACAUUUCUCCUAUGAUACGUGCAUGUUUAUUUAUUUAGUAGUAUUUAGUAGUAAUAUUAAGUGUCAUCGUCACGAUUUUUAAAAUUAGCAAGUGGAUAUACUUAUUCUUGAGGUCCUUGACUGUGAUUUUAAAUCUUACUGCCUAUGCAAUGCUCAUAUGUCAUACAUGAGCUAACAAUCAUGUGAAUUUAGGUGGAGCUUGCGGGUUUGGAGAAUACGGCAGGACUGUCAAUGAUGCGAACGUGGCUGGGGUUUCCAGGCUCUACAAGAAUGGAGCUGGCUGCGGUGCUUGCUAUCAGGUAAAACUUCAAGCCCCUUAAUUAUUUCAACUCUGAAAGCGAUCACAGGUAAAGCAAGGAGUUAUGGGUUCGGCAGAAACUUCCGCAAAAUCAAACUACUUUCCACUCAACCUUUAGAAUAGUAUAGUGUUUCUAGCGUUAAACAUGUGCCCCUACCGCUUAAAACUAAUUAAAAGUUUUCAUUAUCAUUAGUUGCUUUGGCACUGAUCUAUAAACACAAGUUGCUUCUUAUUUUAUGUUGCUAGCUAAUCCAUGACGCUUGCUUUUGCUUAAUUAAACAAACUCAGGUUAGGUGCACGAACCCUCAACUGUGUGAUGGUAAUGGGGUGAACGUUGUGGUGACUGACUAUGGCGAAGGAGACCACACAGAUUUCAUCCUGAGUCCCCGUGCCUACACAAGGAUGGCACGAUCAAACACCGCCGCGCAGCUGUUUGCUUAUGGCGUAGUUGACGUGGAAUUCCAGAGAAUCCCCUGCCGCUACGGUGGUCACAAGCUGCAGUUCAAGGUUCAAGAACAAAGCAGAUACCCAAGCUACUUGGCCAUUGUAAUCUUGUACCAAACUGGCAAAAACGAUAUCCAAGCCGUUGAUAUUUGGCGGGUAAAUUUUUACUUAUUUAUCACAAACUUUUUACUCCUUCUUGAAGUACCGAAUCGUACAUAUAGUUACAUUAUUAUGCGUUUGGUGUGUGAGCAGGAGGAUUGUAAGCAAUGGAUAGGAAUGAGGAGGGCGUAUGGGGCAGUUUUCGACAUGGCUAGUCCGCCACAGGGGGCUGUCAGCUUGAGGUUGCAAGUGAGUGGCAGCGCGGGCUUGACAUGGGUGCAGGCACCAAACGUUAUCCCCAGCGAUUGGAAAGCUGGAGUUGCGUAUGAAUCAGAUAUUCAGCUUGAGUAAAGUGCGUCAGGCUUGCACUACUAGAAACAAAUAAGAAAUUUUAAAACGCAAAAAUCAGACUACUUGUAUUAAGUCCUUAAUUACAUGGUUGCUUUAUGAUGUCACUAGUAAGACAGCAAAGUGCUUAAAACUUCGCCUUGCGGUCGAUAAAAUAAAGAGUUGGUUAUGUGUACCUUUGCUUUUUUUUUUAACAUUAAUCAUCAUAGACUUUCAUUCAAACUGGGAUGAACCUAGUAAAAAAAGGAACAGAACGGUCAAGAGUUAAAAGAGAACCAAGUUACACCAUACAAGCAACAAAGAAUUGCACCCAGCCCCAAUCAAUUUUCAUCCUAACCAAGAAAGAACUAGCAAAAGGCAUCAGUAAGAUCAGGAAACAGGACCAAAGACACUGUUCCCUAUUCUUGCUGUUCACAAAAUCCAUUCAUACCAGUCUAUCCAUCACACUAUUACCAUCAGACCUGAUACAGAACAUCAAAAGGUACCUGAAGCAUGAGAUUGUCGCAUAUAUCAGCAAUCUUAUCGAAGGACUUGGAAGCCAAUGCUUCAUUCAGAACACUAAGAUCCAUCUCUUCUUAUCUUCUGCUUUUUACUCUUUCGAUUUUCCUCUCUCCUACUAUUACUCUGUUAAAUCGUUUUCUUUGGGAGACGGUUUUUUUUCUUUUUUUUUUGCUUUUUUUCCCUUGUCUAGCCCAAUUUCAUGGACCGAAAAAUUAAAGCCCAUUUAAAUGGGCGGCGUCUUAAAAAACAGCUUCUACGAUUUUAAGUUUUCAUUUAACAUAAGGAUCCAACCUUAAUUCUUUAUAAGCCCAUUCUUUGUGCACUCGAGACGUGGCAUCCAUGUUUUUGUCUAAUUUCAAACUUAGUUCGAAACAAUCUGAAUUGAAUGUCCAAUUGUGACAUAAAAUUCAUGUUUUGCCUAAUUCGAACCGAUCCAAAUUUCUAUUUUAAAACUAUAUCAGGAAUUUCCUACUUCUAAUUGACACGACCCAAAUUUCUAUUGUAGUCUGUUGCCCAAACUUUCCCGUGCCCAAGUUUAGAAAUUAUUACAAAUACCCUUAAUUUGUUUUGAUAAUUAAAAAUAACAAUCCAUAAUUUGUUUGGAUAAUUAAAAUUAAAAAUAAAAAAAAAGCAUACUAUAGAUGUCUAAUUUUAAUUAAUUAUUUUUUUAAGUAUUAUUUUACAAAACGAGAACAAAUAUAGAAUAAUUGUGUCACAUGAAAAAAUAAAAUUAAUUCAAAACAAGUGACAAGUUCACAAGUUAUUUUCAUACUUAAAUAUUUUAAAAAGUUUGAUCUAGUGGCUUAGAAAUUGAAGUUGUUAAGAAGACGUUUUCUUAACCAUGCUUUAUCUUUUCCUUCUUUCUUAAUGUAUAAGUGUCACAUUGUUUAGUAUCACUACUUUACUACUCCAAACUUAUGUCCAUUAUCCAAUUACGUAUUCUUUCCAUAUCAUCAAAUAAGUUGUCCUUUAACGUGCUCUUCUUAUAAACUAUUCUUCCCAUAGUGAAUAUACUCUUCCCAUAACAAAAUCGUUUUUCCAUGCAAAACUUGUUUUCUUAAAAAUAUUAUCCAAUUACGUGCUCUUUUUAUAAUGUUAAUGAUCGAUAAACCGUUAUUUACAGUGCUCUUCUCAUAGGUCAUCCUUCACAUAGUGGACAUGCUUUUUCCAUAACAAGCACAUUCUUCCAUACAAAACAUGUUCUUUUAAAAUUACUCUAUUUUCUUCUAAGAAAACACUACUGUUUAAUAUAAAUAUGAGAUUUUAACAAUUAAACAAAAAAUCAGAAAAAUAUCAAUGAUUACUCUCAAAACUUUCUCUAAACUCUUUCCAAUAUCCCCUUUACUCAAUUCUUUCUAUCUAUUGCGUUCCAUCACCCAAAACACUUAAAUUUCAAAAACUGUUCCAAUCUUCUUUUCUGCCACCUCUAGUGAAUUUCAUUUUACUUAUUCAAAACGUACUCUCCCCUUACCAAAGAAACCCUCUACAAAUAACAUUUUGAAUUUUGAUUGAUUACAAAUUUUACUCCAAAGUUAACUUAAUAGUUACUAGCCCUCCAAUGCGAAGGUCAAAUUCCCUAGCAUAUAUACAAAAAAAGAUAACAUUCCAGUUGGUGGGGAAAUUUCUAUAUUUGACUAUUUUUCUAUAUUUUCCCUGUAAAGUAGAGUAGUUUGUCAAAAUGAUUACACCGCACAUGCAAGUCUGUAACAUUAACUCUGCAAUUAGCUUCCUCACAUGCGUCUUAGAAGUACAUUUUUGCCCAAAAAUUAUAUUCUAGGAACAGCUGUGAAGAAUAUAACCAUAAAGAGGUCUCCAAUACAUUGAUACAAGCAAACAAGGAGGGCAUCAUAAACAUUCUGCGGCGGGCAGCUAGUCUUGGCAAGCAUGAAAUUUGAACAUGAAUGAAGCAUACGAUAGUGCAGCAUCUGGAUAUUGUAAUGCCUGCAAAAAUUUAAGCAGCAACCUUAGCAGAACUUCAUUACAAACCACCAUUUUUUGCAUGGCGGAUAUUGUUUCUUUCUGCAUUAACCAUAGGAAAUUUCAACGGCAUCUAUUUAUAGUAUUAUGAUUUUUUAUAUUUAUACACUAUGUACAAAUUUGUGUAUGAUUUAGAAUUGGGAAGAAACUUCGCAUCAUAGACGAGACAAAUAUAAUGUUAGACUUGAUACUUUAGAGGGGUUAAAUCUCUAAAGUUGGUGCUCUUUCCCUUUCCAUAGCACAACCCAGAACAAGAAAUUUUCCCCAUCGCAUUAGCAGCUGCUAAAAUGAGCACAGAUAUUAUAGCAGCAUCAUAUGCAGAAAUGACUGCCAGAUUAUGACCUUUACAUGUGGGAUCAAAAGUGAGUAGAAAUGUGCACUAAAUUGUCCCAAACCAAAUCCACAAAUGACACAGGCAAAAAUAGUCUGUGCAUAUUAAAGUUUUGAAUCCACACAAGUCAUAUGAGUGUAAUUCCCACAAGCAACUAGGAUUUGCCAUGGAUUUGAACAUCUGUGAUUUGUAUAUUGAUCAGUUUGUAAACAUACAAUGUGAGCAUCCAUAAGCACAUAUAUGUUUAGAGAAAAAGAUCAGGAGUAAUAAAUGAAAACCAAAAACAAAAUUAAAUUCAUAUACACAAAUACAUAGCCUUUGCAUAUUUAUAUAUGCAUAACUAUGUCUAUGUGCAUUACUACCUAAUAAAGGUUAAGGAUAUGUGAGGGGAAAAACACUUACAGUGCAAAAAGUCAGUGCUUCUUCAGGAAUCCAAAAGAGUUUUUGGUGUCAUGCUUCAAUACAGCCUACCAGUGCACUCUGAAGAACCACAAUAGCAAAAUUUCUUCUUUAUGUUACCAUUCUCAUCACGAACCUGAUCUAUCAUAUAAUUGUAAUGGUAUGUCAACUCCUGCAAGGGAGGAAUAUUUUCAGCAGCAAAGAGCAUUAUAUGUGGGAUUCUCCUGUCAUCGUGAUCAUAAAGGACAUUUUGUGCAUACAAAUUAGGUGAACAACUAUGGUUUAUGAAUCUCCCUACAUUGCCAUGCUGUGCUGCAUCGAUGGUAAAACCACUGUCUUGCACAACUUGGCAAACACUUGAAUGCACAUCAGGCAUUAGGGUUGAAAGACCAUCCCACAGAGAACUUUCACUGUAGUUGUUUCCAAUAUCAAACAGAUACUCAUCAUUCCCUGUUCUUUCUUCAGCUUCUCUAUCUUCGAGGAGCUCUCCAGCAUACUCACAGAUGAAACUUCCGGAAGGGAUAGAAUUUAGGGAUCUAACACCCCAGCCUCUCGAUUCUGUUUUAAAGAUUUCAAGCUGAAAUUUUAUGCCACGCUGGCUCACUCUAUUAUAGCAAGAAGCAGGACACUUGCAAGUAGGACCACAUUCAUAGACAAGGCGCUUUGCUUCAACAAUGGCCCCAUUAUGGUUAUAUGGGAUCUCUCCUCCAUUCUUCAUUGCACAGGAACAUUUCCCAGAUUCUGAACAUCCAUCAAUACAAUCACAACCUUUGGGAGGAAUAGGGUGGCACCAGUCAGGAUAGAUCAUGUGAGGUACAUACACAAAUGGUGGAGGUUUUUCACUAUCUAUGGUGUUUAUAGCACAAAUGGGGAUUACCUCCUUCCCUUGUGAGAUAUCAUGUGCACACAGCCCUUCCCACACUUUAGAUUUAUUAGAUUUUUUUACAACUUUCCAAGCAAGCUCUGGUUGACCAGGAAUUCUGACCAGCUUAAAUUUGUAGACAAGCUUACCAUGUGGUCCUGAUUCUUGCUUACACUCCUCCACCAAAUAGAGGCCAUCAUAAACAUAUGUUUUACCCCUACCUUCUAACAAAUCAGAAGACCUUGUCUCACCGCGAAUAACCCUCACUGGAUUCUUAACAAAUAUGCUAUUUGCCAAAGCAAGGUUUCCUCUUUCAAGUUUCUGGUCUUCCGGUUGCUUACCUUUCUGCAUAACAUUCCCUCCCUGACCCAUGUAAGUCAAGAUAUCUGAGUUAUCCAAGUCAUUGUCAUAGCCCCCUGAUGCUAUAACACUAGUAGCAAUGAUCCUAUCACCUUGCUUUACGUAAUCUAUACCACCCUGACUUUGGCGAUGAAGGCCAACAAUAUUGAGCUCCACAAAAUAAUGAAACUCAUCACCAACUUCAACACCUGGUACAGGUCCAAUGAUCUGUUUGCCUGUGUUAAUGUAUUUCCCUUUCUCUUUGAGAAUCUUUGCAGCUUGGAUAUCCACCCUCUUAAAGGUCUUUCCUUCUCCAUUCAACUUUGAUUCUUCUUCCUGUAAAAGCUUCCGACAAAUGGCUUGGAAUAGGCGUAAUGUCUCUCUCACUUUGUUCCGAGUAGUAAUUGCAUCAUUAUCAUGACACACACUACUUGGACAAGAAGGAGGAAGACUCACAUCAUAACUGUAUGAUCUCAGAGCAAAAUUAUCAUCUGUGUAUAGUCCAUCCUGUUGGAUUGAUUCUUCCUUGUCCCUGAUAACCACUUGACCAAGACCUUUAUAAGGCCUUGUGGGAGAAGAAUUCUUCUUAAUACAUGUUUCUUCAGGGCUCUCUGCUUCAUUCUUAUUUGCUACUAAAGCAUGGUUUGCCCUUGGUAGCAAUAUGAAAUUGUUCUUUCUUUUUCUUUUAAAUGAAACACCCCCCAGGUCACGUUUGCAGGUCACUUUCCCUUGUGGCAGAGGACAAGUUGAUGAAGCCAUGAGGCCUUGCACAAUUGACCCAUCCAAUAAAACUUCUUGACUCCCACAGUCCUCCUCCAGCAAUUGAUCCUCAAAGGCAGGUGAAUCAGAAAGCUUUGUCUCAAAACUCUUGUCCUCAGCAUAGAUUACAAUAUCAUGUAUUGGAUUUUCCUCCAAACCUCUAACAUAUCCAUCACUUGUCUCACUAACUUGCUUGGACUUGCUAUCAAAUUCAUUUGGAUAAGUUUCGCAAGGAGACUUGAUGCUCUUUUCUCUCAUAUCUUCCUUGUCCUCAUCCAUAUCAUUCCUGGAUGAAGCUUCAUAAGCACAUAGCUUCCUCAUUUUUUCAGAAGCCAGCUCUUCAGGUUUAGAUUGAAUUUCUUCUGCAGAGAGUGUAGGAGCACUACCUUCUAUUUUACCUUCUAGAGCAUUGACAUCCUGAACAUCCUCUAUCACUUGUUUCACAUCAGUACAUAUAGUCUUCUCUGAGGGCUUUUCCUCAUUUACAAACUUCUCUAGAUUGAAACCUUUGUCCUUUAGAGAGGUAAGCCAUUUCAUGCGCUCCUCCUCGCUAAGAGGUGGAGCAUUUCUUCCACAAAAUGGAGGGAAGUUUCUCACAACAGUGACUCCUCUACGAGGACGAUAAUUUCUUGCCGAAGUCUUCUCCAAACUGCUCUCACCAGGGUGGGAUUUCACCGCUUGCUCACUUGGUCUAUCGAUUGGUGCAGCCAACCUUCCACACCCUGGUGGAAAAUUCCGAACAACAGAAACUUUACGCUGCUUAUACUUGGGUGCAGGGGCAAAGUGACCAUUUUCAGUUGACACUCUUCCCAGCCUUCCCUCAGAAUGACUACAACUUGCCACUUUUAAUGUCUCUUUAUGCAGCAUAUUAUCGGAAACGCCCAUUUCAACUCAUAUAUUACAAGUUGCACGAAAAGCAACCUAAAAACCAACAUAAAAUAUUAUUAGACUGCAAUUAGCUCAAAGAUUAAACAAUAAUUAACCUCAUUCUCUAUCUCUAACCAUGAAUAAAAGUAAAAACAGAAAACAAUUAAAACGAAUCCCGUGGUCAUGAGACUUUAGUUUCUAACAACAGCAAAAGACUGUAUCAACAAUCAAAUCAAGCCAUGAAAUAACCUAAAACUAUGCCCCAAUAUUGAAGAACAAGCCAAUUGAAAACGAGGGGAUUAAAAGAUAAGCAAAUAGUAUAUCUCAAAUGGAUGAAAAAAUCAAACUCCCUUUUCAAUCAAAUAGCAACAAAAAAAGAAGGAAAAAUGAAUCAAUGGAUUAAAAAAAUAAUGCGAUUCAUAUAUGUAGUUUCCCGUAAACUCUAAAGCACCUAAUGACAAUAAUCAAGUUUUCUUUAAAAUAUAUCGAAUUUUCUGCUGAACUUUUCUUCGAAACCAAACAGGACUAGAAACACAAACUCGAUAUCCACCAAAACGGGAAGAAUAAUUCAAAAUUAAGAGGGGAAAGAGAAAAAUGGUUGCGUUACCAUGCACAGAAAAUUGCUAAAAUAAAGGCGGAAAAAUAAGUGAUCGAAGAAAUGUUGACCAUCUAUUAUGGAUUUGAAGUGAUCAAAAGCUAAUUAAACAGACGAGAUUUCAACAAGAAUAAAAAUUCACCCGAAAAUCUUCGAGGAGUAGAACAUGCACGAGAAGGCGGAAGAGCAUCGAAAUGAGGAAAGAAAACGACGGUUACUAAUGAAGAAUGAGCGGCAUUAGACUGAAAUCAACGGUGAAGAUCGUCUAAAGUUUUCGAUAGGAAGCUGGAUCGUAAAAAUUGAUGAUUUUUAGCUCGUAGUGGAGAAGGAAAUGUGUGCACUUUACCGUUUCGAUUUGUCUCCUUUACGAGAUGAUUGCCGGAGUGAAGAAAAACCCGACGCUUCGAGUGCCGCAGUAGAAACGGCGUCGUUAUGCCAAAUGACAGGUGGUAAAAUAUAAGGGUAAAAUACAUUUUUUCUAAUUUUUAUUAAUAAUUACACGUAAACUCAUUAGGAUUCAAAAUUGACAAUUUGAAUAGCAUCAAUGGUAAAUAUGAAAUAUCUAAAUUGUCUAUUGCACAAAAAAAUAAAUACUAUAGUGUGUCAAUACCUAUUUGAAAAAUUUUAUCCAACAGAAAAAAUGUCAAGUUCUCAUAACAAAUUUUGAAAUUCAAAACUUAGAUCAAACAUAGAUUUAUGGUUUCUAAACCCAUAUAUAAAUAAAUAAAUAAAUCAACUCAACGACUCAACUUUCAUUUUCUCUUCCACCUUUCGACUUCACUUUGAAUCACCUAGCAAAAAUCAAACAUAGGUUCAUAGUUUCUCUUCACAAGUCAUUUAUGAGUUGAAGUGCCAAAAAUCAACAAUAAAUCUAGUGCAUUUCAACAAUAAAAUCAGGAUUUUGAAAGAGUUUUAGCUUCUAAUAGGUUUAAGGAUGAAAAAAAGGGUAAAAUUAUCCUUUGCCACAUCAUUACCAUAACCUUUAAGGUUUUGAUUAUAACUUUAUACGAGUCUAUUAGAAUUUGAAAUGGACGGUCUAUCUUAAAAGAAUAUUUUUUACUAGAUACAUAAGUCCUAUCAUUUGUCAAUUGUUAAUAUUUUCAUUAGUUUGAUGACGUGGUAAUAUUUUUUAGAUAAUUUUAUCUUUUAUUAAUUUUUCAAAUUAUCAUUACAUAAAAUACAAUUUCUUAAUUUUUACAAUUUAUUUGCCUCUCUGUCCAAGCAUCCUCUUUCCUUCUCUCACUAAAAUUUCUCCACUGUAAACAACAACAACGGCAAACAACAUGACAAGCUUUGAGUGAACGUUUCCCAACCAAAUCUGACCACGAGAACAACAGAUUAGAUGCUACCCAACCAAAUCAAACCUGCGUGAACAUUAGAUCUGUCACUUCCUUACUAGAUUUGAUCGCGAGACCAUUAGAUUUAGCAUUCCCACAACGUCAAUGAGCACAAGAUUGCAUUAGAAGGGCGCAACUUGGUGCUCUAGCGAUUAGCGUAAAGAGGCACUGUUUACCGCUUUGCAAGAAAAGAAAAUAGUGAAAAUAGUGGAGAAAGAAUAAAAGUAUAUGAGACAUUUCACAUUUGCCUGUUAAUGCCGUUUACGCAUUUGAGACGAACUGUUUAUUUUGGAUACUAAUUGACUCAUGUGAAAUUAUGGUCACAACUUAAAAAUUAAGGUAUUUUACCCUUAAUGGAAACACUAACAGUUAACUAACGACAAAAUAGGGUCACCCCUUGAGUUAAGCCACCCAAGCAAGGGCUUUAGGGUCCCAAUUUGAAGAGGUCUUAUAAAUUUAUAAUAUAAUUAAUUAUAUUAAAAAUAUAUAAAAAUAAUAAAUAAUAAAAUUACCUAUUUUCUCAUUUUCUUAAUUAUGUGUUUAAUAAAUCUCAAUUUUCUAUUACUUUCUAAUUUCUAUAAUACUAUAUUAUUUCCAAUCAACUAACGGUCAUAUAUAUUUAAUCAUCUCUAACAACUAUUUUUUUCUUACUUUUUUCUGUUAUUUUCAAUUAACAUAUUUAAUGAUUUUUAACAAUUUUUUUCUUAUAUAUAAAACCAAUUAUUUUUUUUUCAAUGUAUAAUACCUACUUUUGAAUUUUUCUUGUCUCAUUUGCUCUUUUUUCCUUCUUCCUUUAACUUUAGUUUUCUUCCAAAGAAUACACAAGAAAUCUACUAUGUUAUUAUCUUCAUAAAACUAUUAGCCUCGUUUGUGGUUUGCAAUAAGCAUUCAACAAUUAGGCACUAUUAUUUUAAUAUUUACAAUUUUUUUUUACUUUAACUUAGAAUUUAUAUUAUAUUGUUAUAUUAUCUUUACUUUAUGUAAUAGUUGAUUUAUUUGAAUUAAAAAUUUUGAUUUUUUAUUUUGUAUUAGCCAUUUAAAAUAUAUACAAAUUUUGCAACUCAAAAAGUUAUAAUAAUAAAAUUUUAAUAAUUUUUUUUAAUUUCAAUAAAAAAAUACCUCAUUAAAUAUUUCGCUUUAGGCUUUUGAACUUAUUGAGCUGCCCCUGCAACAAAAGUUAUGCGUCUAACAAAAAAAAUUCUUUUGGAGUAAAAUGUCUAUUUCGAAUACUAAUAGAGAUGCGUGAAAUUAUGAGCAAAACUUAAAAAAAUAAAAGUGUUUUACCCAAAUAUAAAACCCAUUUUCAUAGACUUUUAAAUUUUUAAGUUGAUAAAUGUUGAAUAAAAAAUAUUUUUAUUAUCAUUUAAUUAAAUUAGAUUAUGAUAUUUGUCUAAGCCCUAUAACUCAACAAUUCAACUUAAGACGAGUGGCCAUCAAUCUUUUUUUUUUAGAUACGAUUGAUCACCAAAGUAAAUUUGUCACAAUCCGGAACUCUCAUCGAGCCAUUGACAACCGUCGCGACGUCCCGAUAGGCACUCAUUACCCCAAAUGUCGAUUGGAACCCCACAAGGCUUAGCAUCAGCUUUCGCAUAUCCCUAGUGAGCGACAAUUAUUAAAUCCCGCAUUUCAAAAAAAAUAAUAAGUCAUUUCCAAAUCAAGAUAAUAAAAUAUUAUUUUUUUGCUCAUAUGGGCAUUUUUGUCAUUUUUCUUCAAAAAUAUCGAAACCCGUCAAAAACAUUGUGUGUGGGUGAAAAACACAUGUUUCAUAAUUAAAAGUAAAUUUAGAUGUCUAAAAUAAUUAUUUGAAAUGAAAUUAUAAUUAUUUGAAUAAAAUAAUAAUAUUCAAUGAAAUAUUCUAUUUCUAAAUACAAAACAAUAUUUAUAGAGAAAUUCGUAAUUUAAUUUCUGUAGUGUAAAAGUUAAAUAUAUUCAUACGUACUUUAAAGCAGAUAACUGAAAUAUAAAAUUAUUUUUACAGUGACACGUGGGCCUCUAACUAACCAAUAAGGUGCGAGUCUGUGAACCUACAAUUUUGUCGAUGCAAGGCUAACUAAAGUCCUUGAUGCGAUCGGCUAUCUACAGGCUAUCCCGAGCUUGAAAUGUGAGAAAUUGAGAGUCGUGAGAUUAUAAAAUCCCAGUGAGUAAACAAAUACCAUAUAAACCAUCUAAAAUCGAGUAAAUAAAGACAAGUAAGAUAUUCCAUUUCAGUAUAUUUUUCAUAACAUCAAUAAUCAAUUUACUCAAAUAAUCAACUUGGCUUAUGUAAUUCACAAAACUUGGCUUCUGCCAAAAUCAUUCCCAGGGAUGCCUUGGCCUAGGCAUCUGACUGAGACCACCAAGGCUGUUGAAUGUCUUUACAUCCAAAAUUCUAGCCAUGCCUUUGCGUUGGCUAAGUCUCACUCUCACGCGAUGGUCCACGUGAAGUGCACUCAAAUCUUUACCUCUAGAGAAACCCUACACACGACUCUCUAAUUGAGCUAAGGUAUAUCUGAUUCUGUGCCCCUUCUUUUAGGCUGAUCCACAAAACCUCCACUACAGGGAUUAUGAAUUAUUUUAUCUACCACAUGAUUUAUAAAAUCAUUUUCUACAUGACAUGACAAUUUAUCGAAAUCUAGCCUCUCAAGGCUAAAUACAUAGUAUAUAUAAUUUUGAUACAAACACAGACUUUGUCAUUCAUGCUCACAUAUUGCUAUAAGCCAUAUAAUUUAAAACACAAUUUAUAACACAAGCGGGCAGUCUCUAAUUACUCUACUUUCAAAAUCAGUAUUCAAUUUUUCAGAAAAUUUAUAAAAUCAUUUUAUAAAAUCACAAUUUUUCUUGAAACAUAACAAUUUACCAUUUAAAUCCAUUUUUUAUAAAAUCACACAAUUGAAUAAAACUACUCUAGAUAAUUAAGACGAUAAUAAGUUUACUCACAGUUCUAGAAGUCAAUGUACUCCUAAUCCCAAUCUUCGAGCACAAUCUUUGUACUUUUACCAGUUUAAUAUGCUCACCACAUAUCCACAAUAUACAAUACAUAAUUCACCACAUUAAUGCUUGACCAUUAUAAAUCAAUUCAGGCUCGGUGUAUAUGCAUGAUAUGAUAUGCAACUUAUCCGACUACCACUUAAAUGCGGUGCUGAUCUAAUUUGGCCUAUUACCCGAUUAAAUGACAAUUGUGUCUGAUUUGGCUCUAAAUUGUUCCAUUUCAUUUCUAAUACCUCAAUUUACCAAACAUUAUUCAAAUAACACCAAUUUUAGCAUCAAAACCCUCCCAUUUCUUCAUGGAAAAAUUCGACCAUCAUAGUGCACUAACACCAUGAUUUUUCCUAUUAAAUUUUCUCACAAUUAUUCAUCAUUUUCUAAGCCAUUUCUCUUAAAAUAAUAACAAUCCAUCACCCACACACAUCAAGAAAGAUUUGGCCAUGAAGAUUCAUGAGGAAAAUGGAUUCUUCUCUUGUUGUUUUGCUUCUAAAUAUGCUAAACUAACUAAAAACACUAACAUAUCUUAAAAUCAAUUCAAUCCAACAUCUUUCUCUCUC